UGGGGAAUAUUGCACAAUGGAGGGAACUCUGAUGCAGCGACGCCGCGUGAGUGAUGAAGGAAUUCGUUUCGUAAAACUCUGUUCUAUGGGAAGAAAAGGACUGUACCAUAGGAGAAAGCUCCGGCUAAAUACGUGCCAGCAGCCGCGGUAAUACGUAUGGAGCGAGCGUUGUCCGGAAUUAUUGGGCGUAAAGGGUGCGCAGGCGGCUUUACAAGUUGGAUGUGAAAUAUUGUGGCUCAACCACAAACGUGCAUCCAAAACUGCAAAGCUUGAGUUAAGGAGAGGUAAGUGGAAUUCCUGGUGUAGCGGUGGAAUGCGUAGAUAUCAGGAGGAAUACCGGUGGCGAAGGCGACUUACUGGACUUAAACUGACGCUCAGGUACGAAAGCGUGGGGAGCAAACAGG
rnacentral:rRNA from 1 species